GACGUAGACCCGAAACCGGGCGACCUACCCAUGAGCAGGAUGAAGCGAAAGUAAAAUUUCGUGGAGGUCCGAACCCACGAGCGUUGAAAAGCUCGGGGAUGACUUGUGGGUAGCGGUGAAAUUCCAAGCGAGCCCGGAGAUAGCUGGUUCUCCCCGAAAUAGCUUUAGGGCUAGCCUCAAGGUGAGAGAUACGGAGGUAGAGCACUGAAUGUCCUAGGGGGUAUUGCACCUACCGAAGACUAGCAAACUCCGAAUGCCGUCAUCUUAUACUUGGGAGUCAGACGGUGGGUGAUAAGAUUCAUAGUCGAAAGGGCAACAGCCCAGAUCGUCAGCUAAGGUCCCUAAAUGUAAGUUAAGUGGUAAAGGAUGUGGGAUUGCACAGACAACCAGGAUGUUGGCUUAGAAGCAGCCACUCAUUCAAAGAGUGCGUAAUAGCUCACUGGUCGAGUGAUCCUGCGCCGAAGAUUUCCGGGGCUAAAACUUAC
rnacentral:rRNA from 1 species